rnacentral:rRNA from 1 species
UGCCAGCCGCCGCGGUAAUACGGAGGGUGCGAACGUUAAACGGAAUUACUGGGCGUAAAGCGCGCGUAGGUGGUUUAUUAAGUGGGAUGUGAAAGCCCGGGGCUUAACCUGGGAACUGCAUUCCAAACUGAUGAACUAGAGUACGAUAGAGGGGGGUAGAAUUCAGAGUGUAGCGGUGAAAUGCGUAGAUAUUCUGAGGAAUACCGGUGGCGAAGGCGGCCCCCUGGAUUGAUACUGACACUGAGGUGCGAAAGCGUGGGGAGCAAACAGGAUUAGAUA